rnacentral:rRNA from 1 species
UACGUGAGGGGCGAACGUUGUUCGGUGUCACUGGGCUUAAAGGGUGCGUAGGUGGUUGCGUAAGUAAGGUGUGAAAUCCCUCGGCUUACCCGGGGAAUUGCAUUUUAUACUGCGUGGCUUGAGGACUAAAGGGGAAAAGGGAACUCCAGGUGUAGCGGUGAAAUGCGCAGAUAUCUGGGGGAAGGCCGGCGGCGAAGGCGCUUUUCUGGUUAGUACCUGACACUGAGGCACGAAAGCGUGGGGAGCAAACCGG